UCCCAAGCCUUCUGGCGGUCUACGCAAAAUAAGCCCUCAUCAAAAGAUUUAAGGAAAAGUUUUUAGUUUUUUAAAAAGAUGGUUUUAAGGGGGAGUGGUUUUUUAGAGAAAAUUGGGGAGGGGUUUCUGGGUUAUCUCUGAGGGGGCGUGGAUCACAUGGGUAGAGAGCGCGCGCGAUAAAAGCGAGGUGUGGGGGGCACGUCCCCCCCCGCCCCCCCCAUUAUCUAUCCCCUUGCCCCUAUUUGUUUAUUUGCGGAUUUAUCGGUGUCCGGGAGUUAAGUGUUGGUAACAGUUUUUGUAAUGAUGAAAAACAGUCSUGCUUAUAAAAAACCAAUUUAUAAAAGGUUGGUUUUUAAAUGUGAACCCUAACCCUUCCCCUUAAGGAAAAAAAACCUCCGGGCGGUCCAAACCCAAAAACUUUUAAAUUUGGCAAAAGAUUUUGAUUUUUGAAUGGACCCAGUUUGUGAACUCCAAUUUUAAGGUUUCCAAAGGUUUUUCCCUUUUUAGGGGCCGUAGCUCAGCUGGGAGAGCACCUGCUUUGCAAGCAGG
rnacentral:misc_RNA from 1 species